rnacentral:rRNA from 1 species
CGGCACGGGUGAGUAACACGUAUCCAACCUGCCGUCUACUCUUGGCCAGCCUUCUGAAAGGAAGAUUAAUCCAGGAUGGCAUCAUGAGUUCACAUGUCCGCAUGAUUAAAGGUAUUUUCCGGUAGACGAUGGGGAUGCGUUCCAUUAGAUAGUAGGCGGGGUAACGGCCCACCUAGUCAACGAUGGAUAGGGGUUCUGAGAGGAAGGCCCCCCACAUUGGAACUGAGACACGGUCCAA